AGAGCGAACGCUGGCGGCAGGCCUAAUACAUGCAAGUCGAACGGAUCCUUCGGGAUUAGUGGCGGACGGGUGAGUAACACGUGGGAACGUGCCCUUUGGUUCAGAACAACUCAGGGAAACUUGAGCUAAUACUGGAUAAGCCCUUCGGGGGAAAGAUUUAUCGCCAUUGGAGCGGCCCGCGUCUGAUUAGCUAGUUGGUAGGGUAAAGGCCUACCAAGGCUACGAUCAGUAGCUGGUCUGAGAGGAUGAUCAGCCACACUGGGACUGAGACACGGCCCAGACUCCUACGGGAGGCAGCAGUAGGGAAUCUUGCGCAAUGGGCGAAAGCCUGACGCAGCCAUGCCGCGUGAAUGAUGAAGGUCUUAGGAUUGUAAAAUUCUUUCAGCGGGACGAUAAUGACGGUACCCGCAGAAGAAGCCCGGCUAACUUCGUGCCAGCAGCCGC
rnacentral:rRNA from 1 species